UACGUAGGGGGCGAGCGUUGUCCGGAUUUAUUGGGCGUAAAGAGCUCGUAGGCGGUUCGAUAAGUCGGACGUGAAAUCUCCACGCUCAACGUGGAGGGGCCGUUCGAUACUGUCGUGACUCGAGUCCGGUAGGGGAGUGUGGAAUUCCCGGUGUAGCGGUGAAAUGCGCAGAUAUCAGGAAGAACACCUAUGGCGAAGGCAGCACUCUGGGACGGUACUGACGGCUGAGACGCGAAAGCGUGGGGAGCGAACAGG
rnacentral:rRNA from 1 species